GAUGAACGCUGGCGGCAUGCCUAAUACAUGCAAGUCGAACGAGGCACUUGUGCCUAGUGGCGAACGGGUGAGUAAUACAUAAGUAAUCUAACUUUUCACGUGGGAUACCUGAUGGAAACAUGAGUUAAAACCACAUAGGUAAUGAUGAAACAUUUUGUGAUUAUUAAAGAAGCUACGGCUUUGGGAAAAGAUGAGCUUAUGGCGCAUUAGCUAGUUGGUGAGAUAAAAGCCCACCAAGGCGACGAUGCGUAGCCGGCCUGAGAGGGUGAACGGCCACACUGGAACUGAGACACGGUCCAGACUCCUACGGGAGGCAGCAGUGGGGAAUAUUGCACAAUGGGCGAAAGCCUGAUGCAGCAACGCCGCGUGAGCGAUGAAGGUCUUCGGAUCGUAAAGCUCUGUCCUCAAGGAAGAUAAUGACGGUACUUGAGGAGGAAGCCCCGGCUAACUACGUGCCAGCAGCCGCCGUAA
rnacentral:rRNA from 1 species